GAGUUUUGAUCCUGGCUCAGGAUGAACGCUAGCGGAGGCCUAACACAUGCAAGCCGAGCGGUAUUUCUUCUUCGGAAGAGGGAGAGCGGCGUACGGGUGCGGGAAACACGUGUGCAACCUGCCUUUAUCUGGGGAUAGCCUUUCGAAAGGAAGAUUAAUACCCCAUAAUAUAUUUGAUGGCAUCAUUAGAUAUUGAAAACUCCGGUGGAUAGAGAUGGGCACGCGCAAGAUUAGAUAGUUGGUGGGGUAACGGCCCACCAAGUCGAUGAUCUUUAGGGGCCUGAGAGGGUGAUCCCCCACACUGGUACUGAGACACGGACCAGACUCCUACGGGAGGCAGCAGUGAGGAAUAUUGGACAAUGGGUGAGAGCCUGAUCCAGCCAUCCCGCGUGAAGGAAUAAGGUCCUAUGGAUUGUAAACUUCUUUUCUACAGGGAUAAACCUAUUUACGUGUAAAUAGCUGAAGGUACUGUAGGAAUAAGCACCGGCUAACUCCGUG
rnacentral:rRNA from 1 species